rnacentral:lncRNA from 1 species
AUGUGGGUGGCCUGGGGGCUGGGGGUUCCCUUGACCACCCAGGCCAGGCAGAAGGCGAACCGCUCCUUGGUGAGGUAUUGCAGAAACACCUGCUCGGCCUCACCUUGCUUUUCCUGGGGGCAGGAUCUGGCUGUGUUGUCCUUGAAUGGCUCCCUCCUGGUCCACCCUUGCACGGCCAGCCUGGCAGCUCAGGUAUCUUCCGGGGACACCUUCGCCCGGGCCCACAUCCACACAGCCUGCGGCCACCACCAUACCCAUCUGGACACCAGCCUCCAACACGCAUGGCCUCCACUUCAGGCGCUCGGGGUCGCCCCCGACAACCAUAUCCAAGUGUCUGUGGGGGGACACAAACACCCCAGGGCCAGGCUGGCGGUGGCCUUGGGCCAGUGCACCCUGACUGCUCAUGGGGAUGUCAUUACUGAGGCCAACACCACACACGCCAACUGGACCCUGUCGGUGGUGAAUCGCUGUCCCCCGCUGGAGGCAACAGGCCUCCCGCAGGCUCUGCGCUCCGAGGGCAACCUGAGCUGGAGCUCCUGCGAGGUCAGUCUGGCCUCGGGCCUCCGCAGCGACGACGGAGAAGCCCACCUGCAGCUGGCCCGCACCUGCGGGCCCCAGACCUCGGUCGUCGGGCACCUGGCCCACUCCCUGCCCCUGCUGGGCCGCCUGGGCCUGCCACCCAGUGGCACCAUCAGCCUGGCCGUCCAGCCACAGCCUGCCGCCCGCCACUCCCUGGCCCUCCAGCUGGGGCCAUGCCGGCUGCAGGGGACGCUGGAGCAGCGCGCUGGCAACCGGAGUGCAUGGAUGCUGGCCUCUGAGCCCGGCUGCCCGCUGCUGGAGGGUCUGGGCCUCCCAGCAGGGACACAGUUCAGCGGCUCCCUGCAGGCCGCAGGUGGGGAAGCCAAGGUGGCAGGGACCCUCACAUCGGCCAGUGGGACAGCCUCCCUGACCUUGACAGCGGUCGUGCACCAGUCCGAGGCCACGCUUCGAGUGAAACUGAGUCACAGGCUGUCUGCACUGCAGGCCGUCCCCCCAGAGACCUUGCUGACCGUCCGGCUCCGGUGGGAGGCCGGGCACCGGCUGGGUCUGGAGCUGCAGGUGGGGGCCUGUGAGCUGCAGGGCGAUGGUGAGCUGCACCUGGACCACGGGCUGCAGUGGCGGGUGCUGGCCGAGAGCUCCUGCGAGGCUCUGCAGGUAGGUGGUGCAGCUGUGGGAGGAGUGGGUCCCAGGGUCUCCAGGGGGCAGGGCAGGGGCUUUCUUUGGAGGUUCACUAAUUGCUGAGACCACUCAACUCUGAAAAUGUAGCCGUGAAUCAAGCAGAGGUAAAUGCCUGCCUAGGGGGAGACCGGCAAUCCCCGGCACAAAUCAGCGAAUUGCAGACUACAGUACCUAGUGAUAAGGACUACGGAGAGGCAGAAAGUAGGAACGGGGGAGUGAACGGCAGGACAGAUACUGCAAUUUUUAUAAGUCGGUCACGUUUGGCCCAAAAGACAAGAUGGCAUUUGAGCAGAGACUUGAAGGAGAGGAAGGAGGAGAUGUGUGGAUAUCUGGGGAAAGAAUCUUCUAGGCCAGGCCAGUGCAAAGGCCCUGAGGCAGAGGCAGAGAGGAACGGGCUUUUGCUAGGACCAGGGUCAGCAAACCCUUUCUCAAAAAGCCCACAUAGGAUAUAUCUUGAGCUUUGCAGGCUCAGCAGCCUCUGUUGUAAGUACUCAGCCUGGUGGUUACAGCACAAAACACUGUAGACAAGAUAUAAACAAAUAGGUGUGACCGUGUUCCAAUAAAGCUUUAUUUAAAACAACAAGUAGCAGUCUGGAUGUGGCCCGUGGGCCGUAGUUUGCUGACUCCUGUUUUAUGAAAAGCACAUGAGGUGUGGGAGAGCACUCACACUCAGGAUCCUUUGCGGAGGCUGAGAGGGAGGCCUGGGUGGAAGUUUGGGUAUGGAGGUGCUAGAGAGGGGGUGAGGGAGCAGGGUGGCCCCUCUGCUUGUGUCCUGGGUGACGAGAGGCCUGGGGUUGCUGUGCCCUGUGAUGGGGAGCACAGUGGGCAGAGGGGGAGGGUCAGGGAGGCAUUGCUGACUCAGUCCCAUCUCCGACAUGUUAAGUGUGAUGCCCAAGUGAAGGCGUCAGGGGCAGCUCUUGCAGUCAGGAGGUUGGCUGUGGUCUCUGCCUCUCCAUGGUCCCCCCAAAAGCCACGAGACUGGCUGAGAUGCCCGUGGGGUGGGGGGAGACUGAGCUGCAGCAUAAGGGAGCAGGCCCGGGUACCGAGAACAAGCCAGG